GGUUCGAUUUCGGAGAGGGAGCAUGAGAAACGGCUACCACAUCUAAGGAAGGCAGCAGGCGCGUAAAUUACCCAAUCCUGACUCAGGGAGGUAGUGACAAGAAAUAGCAAACCGGGAACCUCAUGGUUUCACGGUAUUGCAAUGAGAACAAUUUAAAACCCUUAGCGAGAAUCAAGUGGAGGACAAGUCUGGUGCCAGCACCCGCGGUAAUUCCAGCUCCACUAGCGUAUAUUAAAGUUGUUGCAGUUAAAAAGCUCGUAGUUGAACCUCUGUCUGGGGCUAGUUUUGGCUUUGGUCAGGCUAGUUCUAGGCAUCCGCCUACAAGACUUAGAGGGCAUUCAGUUGUUCACUAGGAGGAGUAGGCAUUUUACUUUGAAAAAUUAGAGUGUUUAAGGCAGGCAAUCGCCCGCAUAUAUUAGCAUGGAAUAAUAGAAUAGGACACUUUUCCAUUUCGUUGGUUAUUGGAAUCGUGUAAUGAUUAAUAGGGACAGUUGUGGGCAUUUGUAUUUAAUUGUCAGAGGUGAAAUUCUUGGAUUUAUUAAAGACAAACUAACGCGAAAGCAUUUGCCAAGGAUGUUUUCAUUAAUCAAGAACGAAAGUUAGGGGAUCAAAGACGAUCAGAUACCGUCCUAGUCUUACUAUAAACUAUUCCGACUCAAUGUUUGACUGGCUUAUAUAACCAGUUGAGCGUUGUAUGAGAAAUCAAAGUCUUUAGGUUCUGGGGGGAGUAUGGUUGCAAAGCUGAAACUUAAAGGAAUUGACGGAAGAGCACAACCAGGAGUGGAUUCUGCGGCUUAAUUUGACUCAACACGGGGAAACUUACCAGGUUAAAACAAUAGUGGGAUUGACAGUUUGAGAGCGCUUUCUUGAUUGGUUGGGUGGUGGUGCAUGGCCGUUCUUAGUUGGUGGAGUGAUUUGUCUGCUUAAUUGCGUUAACGAACGAGACCUUAACCUGCUUACUAGACUGGCGAUCAUCAAUCGUUAGCUCUUCUUAGAGGGACUUUGGUUGUUUUAACUCCAAGGAAGUUUGAGGCAAUAACAGGUCUGUGAUGCCCUUAGAUAUCCUGGGCCGCACGCGUCAUACAAUGACUAGUUCAGAAAGUUUUCUCCUGACCCGAAAGGGGAUGGGUAAUCUUGAUAAUACUAGUCGUGUUAGGGAUCGAUCUUUGCAAUUAUAGAUCUUGAACGAGGAAUUCCUAGUAAGUGCGGUUCAUCAGACCGUACUGAUUACGUCCCUGCUCUUUGUACACACCGCCCGUCGCUUCUACCGAGUGGGUGGUCCGGUGAGAUAAUUGAACUUCGCAGGUAACUGAGAGGAAAGAUUAUCAAACCUAUCCACCUCGAGGAAGAAGAAGUCGUAACAAGGUU
rnacentral:rRNA from 1 species